rnacentral:rRNA from 1 species
AUUGAACGCUGGCGGCAGGCCUAACACAUGCAAGUCGAACGAGCGGCGGACGGGUGAGUAAUGUCUGGGAAUCUGCCCGAUGGAGGGGGAUAACUACUGGAAACGGUAGCUAAUACCGCAUACCAUCGGAUGUGCCCAUAUGGGAUUAGCUAGUAGGUGGGGUAACGGCUCACCUAGGCGACGAUCCCUAGCUGGUCUGAGAGGAUGACCAGCCACCGUGGAACGGAGACACGGCCCAGACUCCUACGUGAGGCAGCAGUGGGGAAUAUUGCACAAUGGGCGCAAGCCUGAUGCAGCCAUGCCGCGUGUAUGAAGAAGGCCUUAGGGUUGUAAAGUACUUUCAGCGGGGAGGCGUUACCCGCAGAAGAAGCACCGGCUAACUCCGUGCCAGCAGCCGCGGUAAUAC